rnacentral:rRNA from 1 species
GGAACCGGAGAGGUAAGAGGUACUACAGGGGUAGGAGUGAAAUCUUGUAAGUCCCUGUGGGACCACCUGUGGCGAAGGCGUCUUACCAGAACGGGUUCGACGGUGAGGGACGAAAGCUGGGGGCACGAACCGGAUUAGAUACCCGGGUAGUCCCAGCCGUAAACGAUGCUCGCUAGGUGUCAGGCAUGGCGCGACCGUGUCUGGUGCCGCAGGGAAGCCGUGAAGCGAGCCACCUGGGAAGUACGGCCGCAAGGCUGAAACUUAAAGGAAUUGGCGGGGGAGCACAACAACGGGUGGAAGCCUGCGGUUUAAUUGGACUCAACGCCGGACAACUCACCGGGGGCGACAGCAAUAUGUAGGCCAAGCUGAAGACUUUGCCUGAAUCGCUGAGAAGAGGUGCAUGG